rnacentral:rRNA from 1 species
UACAGAGGUCUCAACCGUUGUUCGGAUUCAUUGGGCGUAAAGGGUGCGUAGGCGGCGCGGUAAGUCGGGUGUGAAAUCUCGGGGCUUAACUCCGAAACUGCAUUCGAUACUGCCGUGCUUGAGGACUGGAGAGGAGACUGGAAUUUACGGUGUAGCGGUGAAAUGCGUAGAUAUCGUAAGGAAGACCAGUGGCGAAGGCGGGGUCUCUGGACAGUUCCUGACGCUGAGGCACGAAGGCCAGGGGAGCAAACGGG